AAAAUAAAAAAUAUAUUAAACAUCUAUCUGAAAAAUGUAUCUAUACUAAUAAAAUGGAGCUUUUGAGGCUCAAUAGAGCGUCCACAUCAGCGAAAAAAAAACAUUUUGUGAAAGAUGACACGUGUCAUUAGUAAAAAAUAAAAAAUAAAUAUACAUAUAAAGAAAAAUAAAUAAUAAGUAAAUAUACAAUAUAAAAAAUAAAAUUAUUACAUUAAACAAUAAUAAGUGAGGCUCCAUAGGGCGUCGACAUCAGCGGUAAAAAUGUUUUCUAAAAAAUGACACGUGGCAUUAACAAAAAAUAAAAAAUAAAUAUACAUAUAAAGAAAAAUAAAUAAUAAGUAAAUAUGCAAUAUAAGAAAUAGAAAUAUUACAUUAAAAAAUAAUAGGUAAAUAUACAAUAUAAGAAAAAAAUGAAAAGUAAAUAUACAUUAUAAGAAAUAGAAAUAUUGCAUUAAACAUCUAUCAUAAUUUAUCUUCUGAUAUAAAAGCAAGAAAAUUAGAAUAAGUAAAUAUAUAAUUAAAAAAUAAAAAAACUAUAUUAAACAUCUAUCUGAAAAAUGUAUAUAUACUAAUAAAAUAGAGCUUUUGAGGCUCCAUAGAGCAUCUACAUCAGCGGAAAAAAAAAACUUUUUCUAAAAGAUGAUACGUGUCAUUAAUAAAAAAUAAAUAUACAUAUAAAGAAAAAUAAAUAAUAAGUAAAUAUACAAUAUAAGAAAUAGAAUUAUUACAUUAAACAAUAAUAAGUAAAUAUACAAUAUAAGGAAAAAAUAAAUAAAAGUAAAUAUACAAUAUAAGAAAUAUAAAUAUUACAUUAAAC
rnacentral:lncRNA from 1 species